GAAACAAUAGUUGGCAACCAUUUGCGUAUGGUGUGUGCGAAAUGGGUGAAGAAUAUGACAUUUCUUUUGGUCCAGAGAAAAGUUAUAAAUACUUAAAACUGGAUAAAGUUUUAAAGGUGCUCGAUUUGAAAGAUUGUGAAUUCUUUUAAGAAACAGAUACUAAUAAUCACGAAAAUUCAUCUGAUGAAGAUGUCGACUAUUGAGCUCAUAAAGGAUGCUUUUUCAUUUCUCGAAAAUAUCCACACAACCUUUCAAACCUUUCAAAAAGGGCUGUAAAUAAUUUUUAGAUGUUUAGUAAUUUUAAGGAUUUGCAGAGCAAAAUUUUUUAUGCCAUUGUCUGUUUAAUGCGAAAACAUGUGAAAGAGGUAAUUUAUUCGAGAAAUAAAAAAUUUUAAUGCCUGCUA